CCCCCUAGACCAUCACAGACGCCGAGCUUCGCGUAACUCUCACAGUGGAAAAAGACAGGAAUGUCAGCCCUCUGAGCCCAAGCAAAGCCAUCAUAUCCCCUGUGACCUGCACGUACACAUCCAGAUCGCCGGUUCCUGCCUUAACUGAUGACAUUCCACCACAAAAGAAGUGAAAAUGGCCUGUUCCUGCCUUAACUGAUGACAUUUUCUUGUGAAAUUCCUUCUCCUGGCUCAUCCUGGCUCAAAAGCUCCCCCAUUGAGUACCUUGUGACCCCCACUCCUGCCCGCCAGAGAACAACCCCCCUUUUUCCUUUACCUUCCCAAAUCCUAUAAAACCGCCCCACCCCUGUCUCCCUUGGCUGACUUUCUUUUCAGACUCAGCCCACCUGCACCCAGGUGAUUAAAAGCUUUAUUGCUCACAC
rnacentral:lncRNA from 1 species